rnacentral:lncRNA from 1 species
CGGGGAGCCAGAGACCCAGGACUGCCCAUCAGCAUCACCAGCCCAGCCCGGGCCAGUGCCUGGCCCACAGCAGGCGCUCCCCGGGCAGCUGCGGACUGACUGACUGCUGUACGCACCCAGCACGUGGUAAUACCCAGCUCAACCAGUGAGAAGUGAGCCAGCGGGUGAGCGGGAGAGAGGAUUGCUUUAGCAAUUCGGGGUCUUUUGUUGCCUCCCAGGGGCAUCUUCAUCUUCAUAGAGAACCCUUGGAAAUCUUCCAGAUGCGAAUGAAUGGACUGAUAAUGUGUGUUCAUCCACGAUGUGGAGGCUGCUGUCCCAGGCACAGCUGCAGCAACGGCCGGUGUGUUGGGGCGGCCGGGAUAUCGA